rnacentral:rRNA from 1 species
UACAGAGGUCUCAAGCGUUGUUCGGAUUCAUUGGGCGUAAAGGGUGCGUAGGCGGCGCGGUAAGUCGGGUGUGAAAUCUCGGAGCUUAACUCCGAAACUGCAUUCGAUACUGCCGUGCUUGAGGACUGGAGAGGAGACUGGAAUUUACGGUGUAGCGGUGAAAUGCGUAGAUAUUGUAAGGAAGACCAGUGGCGAAGGCGGGUCUCUGGGCAGUAACUGACGCUGAGGAGCGAAAGCGUGGGGAGCGAACAGG